rnacentral:rRNA from 1 species
CGCCUAACACAUGCAAGUCGAACGAAGUAGCAAUACUUAGUGGCAGACGGGUGCGUAACAUGUGGGAAUCUGCCUUUUGGUUCGGAACAACAUGGGGAAACCUGUGCUAAUACCGGAUAAGUCCUUACGGAGAAAGAUUUAUCGCCGAGAGAUGAGCCCGCACUUGAUUAGCUUGUUGGUAAGGUAAAAGCUUACCAAGGCAACGAUCAAUAGCUGAUUUGAGAGGAUGAUCAGCCACACUGGGACUGAGACACGGCCCAGACUCCUACGGGAGGCAGCAGUGGGGAAUCUUGCACAAUGGAGGAAACUCUGAUGCAGCGAUGCCGCGUGAGUGAAGAAGGCCUUUGGGUUGUAAAGCUCUUUUGUCGGGAAAGAUAAUGACUGUACCCGAAGAAUAAGGUCCGGCUAACUUCGUGCCAGCAGCCGCGGUAAUACGAAGGGACCUAGCGUAAUUCGGAAUUACUGGGCGUAAAGCGCGCGUAGGCGGUUAAGUAAGUUAAUUGUGAAAGCCCAAAGCUUAACUUUGGAAUUGCAAUUAAAACUACUUAGCUAGAGUUUAUCAGAGGAAAGCGGAAUACAUAGUGUAGAGGUGAAAUUCGUAGAUAUUAUGUAGAACACCAGUUGCGAAGGCGGCUUUCUGGGAUAAUACUGACGCUGAGGUGCGAAAGUAUGGGUAGCGAAGAGGAUUAGAUACCCUCGUAGUCCAUACCGUAAACGAUGAUUGUUAGAUGUUGGAAAUUUAUUUUCAGUAUCACAGCUAACGCGUUAAACAAUCCGCCU